UGGUCCUUGCUGGACUUGUCGCAGCCCUGAAAUUAGUCUGAAAAAACUUAGCUAAUCAUAGUUUCCUCUUCUUUGGGGCUGGAGAGGAAGUAUGAGCUUGAAACUUCAAUUUUUGUACUUAUAGGUCAACUUAGUGUGUUUUGGAGAAGAGUCAAACUGAAAUAUCCCUCUUUGGAGCUCCGCAUUGACAAAAUUAUAAGUAGUUAUAUUAUAUUGGAGCUACUUAGAUGUUUGUUGGGAGAAAGAAGGGAUUAAUGGAGAGAAAAGCAUAGCCUUGAGGAAAACUAAGUCUCAAAUUUUUACAAAUAGUUCUGCAUGUAAAUUAAAAUUAGGAGAUCUUAAAGGAGCAUUAUUCGAUACUAAGUUUGCACUGCGUGGAGAAGACAACAAUGUCAAAGCAUUAUUCCGGCAAGGACAGGCACAUAUGGCACUCUAUGACAUAGAUGCUACAACUGAAAGCUUUAAAAAAGCACUAGUCUUAGAGCCAAAUGAUGGUUUCAUUUUGCUCAACCUGUGGAGGUGAUGGUGAAAUCAUAUCUGAAUAUUGAUGCAAAUGCAGCGGUGAAGGAUGUAUUCAAGUUAAGAAAAAUAUCAAAGUUAAAGUUCCUCCAGGUGUUAGUGGUGCACAAAUUGUGAAUCACACUUUUCACAACUCGUACCACUAACCAGCAAGUGCACUGGGUCGUCCAAGUAAUACCUUACGU